UACGUAGGGGGCAAGCGUUGUCCGGAUUUAUUGGGCGUAAAGAGCAUGUAGGCGGUCAGGUAGGUCCGUUGUGAAAACUCGAGGCUCAACCUCGAGACGCCGAUGGAAACCAUCUGACUAGAGUCCGGAAGAGGAGAGUGGAAUUCCUGGUGUAGCGGUGAAAUGCGCAGAUAUCAGGAAGAACACCCGUGGCUAAGGCGGCUCUCUAGUACGGUACUGACGCUGAGACGCGAAAGCGUGGGGAGCGAACAGG
rnacentral:rRNA from 1 species